ACACAUAUGGCUCCUGCCGUGUUGCCGUACGCGUGACACACAGGUCACGAAUGAGUUACACACAUGCAUCUCAUACACAAGGGGGCCAUACUGAUCACAAGAUACAUACAUACAUCCUGCAAAACAGAGUUAGGCGUCCUAACGUUCCAAACUUGGGAGGCCCAAAACUCCAUCUUCCAAGCCGAAUUUGGCAAAUCUAAUUUCGCCGAAAACGGCAAAGCCGUUGAAAUUCAUGUGUAACUUUUUCUGUAGAUCAAUUUUCGUAUAGAAAUCGCCCCGAUCCGAGAUCGUACCGAAAAGUUACGGCUGAUUUACCGAAGCAUGCGCAUACGACAAAAUUCCCGACCCCGGCAGUAGAUCACAUCUACUAUUGCACAUCUAAUGCGCCUGGCGUAUGACCCUGGAUCUCGAUUUGACCAAUCAUAUUGAUCUUCC
rnacentral:lncRNA from 1 species